ensembl:lncRNA
AUGUCCUGUAAUUUCUGUGACCAGAGAAGACAUUCAGCCAUGCUGUCCCUCGGCCAAGAUGAACUAAGCCUGCGCCCCCAGAGAGCUGAGAUAUGACCUCAUAAUUGCAUGGAAUUACACCUGAGAUAUCAGAUGUCCUGUGCUUACCUUCUACGUGCUCUGCUGGAGGGAAGCUAAGAUCCUUCAUUCUUUUCAGACAACUGGUUCUUCAAAGACGCUGACAAACCAGAUAGUCCAGAACUGCACACUCUGGAGCUAAUUCCACAAGCAGCUGAGACCAGGAUGGAUGGAUUCUUGGAUACAGAUAGGGAAGUAGAGAGAGGAAUGGAGAGGCUGCUGAACCAGGAGCACUUGUGCAAAGAAAUGAGAGGGUCAAGGGUGUUUGAGUCCCCUCUUCCCUUCUGCUCGAGACUUAAGGAGAUCACUGUUUUCGCAGUUGCUCAAAAAGGAAAUGGUAACAGGAUGAAAAGCUGGCCAGAGAGAUGAGGUUCCUUACUCACCAAAUGCAUGAGGGGUGGUGAUACAAUGCUGUGAAGAAUUGAAAGGAGACCUGGGGACUUCCAACAUUCCCCUCUCCCAUUUCAGACUCAUUCCUCACGAUCAGACUGCUACCAGUUUGGUUUUUUGGUGAAGUCAGUACUUACAUGAAGAUCCAUCCAUAGGAUGGUCCAGCUGGUACAGAAGUGGGAAUGUACCUCUACCACAGAAAAGCAGAGGAAAACCUCUGUGGGCUAGAGUCUCUUAAUACACCAGUUCAGGGACUUCCCUGGUGGUCUGGUGGCUAAGACUCUGAGUUCCUAGUGCAGGGAGCCCAGGCUUGAUCCCUGGUAGGGGAACUAGAUCCCACAUGCCGCAAUUAAGAGUUCACAUGUUGCAACUAGAGAUCCCACAUGCCGCAACUAAGACAAAGAGCAGCCAAAUAAAUAAAUGCAUAUAUUUUUUUAAAUGUGUGAG